rnacentral:rRNA from 1 species
GACGAACGCUGGCGGCGUGCCUAACACAUGCAAGUCAACUUGACGGAAGGAGCAAUCUGACCGUAGAGUGGCGCAAGGGUGCGUAACGCGUAAGUAACUUGCCCAAGGUAAGGAAUAACGUCGAGAAAUCGGCGCUAAUACCUCAUAAUGCAGCGGAUCCGCAUGGAUAUGUUGUUAAAGGUUUACCGCCUUGGGAUAGGCUUGCGUCUGAUUAGCUAGUUGGUGUGGUAACGGCACACCAAGGCUACGAUCAGUAACUGGUCUGAGAGGAUGAUCAGUCACACUGGAACUGAGACACGGUCCAGACUCCUACGGGAGGCAGCAGUGAGGAAUAUUGGGCAAUGCUCGAAAGAGUGACCCAGCAACGCCGCGUGGAGGAUGAAGGUAUUCUAUAUCGUAAACUCCUGUGAGAGCAGACGAAAGACAGAUUAUUAAUCUGGAUGACUGUAUGCUCAGAGGAAGCCCCGGCUAACUACGU